rnacentral:rRNA from 1 species
AUUGAACGCUGGCGGCAUGCCUUACACAUGCAAGUCGAACGGUAACGGGCCUUCGGGUGCCGACGAGUGGCGAACGGGUGAGUAAUGCAUCGGAACGUACCUUUCAGUGGGGGAUAACGUAGCGAAAGUUACGCUAAUAUCGCAUAUUCUGUGAGCAGGAAAGCAGGGGAUCGCAAGACCUUGCGCUGAUUGAGCGGCCGAUGUCAGAUUAGCUAGUUGGUGAGGUAAAGGCUCACCAAGGCGACGAUCUGUAGCGGGUCUGAGGGGAUGAUCCGCCACACUGGGACUGAGACACGGCCCAGACUCCUACGGGAGGCAGCAGUGGGAAUUUUGGACAAUGGGGGCAACCCUGAUCCAGCCAUGCCGCGUGAGUGAAGAAGGCCUUCGGGUUGUAAAGCUCUUUCGGCCGGGAAGAAAUCGCACAGGCUAAUACCUUGUGUGGAUGACGGUACCGGAAUAAGAAGCACCGGCUAAUUCCGUGCCAGCCGCCGCAGUAAUAC